CCCGCACAAGCGGUGGAUGAUGUGGAUUAAUUCGAUGCAACGCGAAAAACCUUACCUACCCUUGACAUGUCAGGAAGGCCGAAGAGAUUUGGCAGUGCCCGAAAGGGAACCUGAACACAGGUGCUGCAUGGCUGUCGUCAGCUCGUGUCGUGAGAUGUUGGGUUAAGUCCCGCAACGAGCGCAACCCUUGUCAUUAGUUGCUACAUUCAGUUGAGCACUCUAAUGAGACUGCCGGUGACAAACCGGAGGAAGGUGGGGAUGACGUCAAGUCCUCAUGGCCCUUAUGGGUAGGGCUUCACACGUCAUACAAUGGUACAUACAGAGGGCCGCCAACCCGCGAGGGGGAGCUAAUCCCAGAAAGUGUAUCGUAGUCCGGAUCGUAGUCUGCAACU
rnacentral:rRNA from 1 species